ensembl:lncRNA
UGAUUUGAUUCACAAAAUGUAGUACAUGUAGGCCUAGUAGCCUACUGGAUACACUGGACGUCCCUGCUCUGAUGACGGAAUUCAUCAGCACCACCCCAGAACGAAAGACCACCUUUGGAGUCCUACCAUCUACUUAAGACCGCAUAUACUGUCUAAAACCCCCCGAAGAGGUACCUGUACAAUGUAAAAACAUUACCGUCAACGGUAGAUAUAAGUACCCCUUCGAUGAAGUGUGCGACCAACUUCAAAUCUACCACGAUAAUCAGACAGUAAAGGAAAUUCAUGAUUACAUGACAUUGCCCAUACAAGAUGAAUGUUUGAAUCUGACUGUGAAAUGCGUCAGACGAAGGAGAAGUGAAAUCUGCAAGAGAUUUGGCACUGUUACAGAUGCUUCCUCUUUAUCAGACCCAGGAAAACCUAAACAACAGUUAAACAACACAAGUGAACCGACUGACACAGACUUGUGUACUUGUCAACUGACCGCUCAUCUUCGACAGUUACAGAUGCUUCCUCUUUAUCAGACCCAGGAAAACCUAAACAACAGUUAAACAACACAAGUGAACCGACUGACACAGACUCAGUGAAAAGUAAGCUGUUUAUAUUGUUAAUACGCAAUGCUGUUUAUAUACAUGUGUGUAUACUGACCAUCAAACAUCAAACACGGAUCAAAGUACCCAGCCAGGUGAUGUUUUUUUACCCCUUUCUGUUGGACGUUUCCAUGACAUCAGACAUCAUUCAUUACAUUAUCUAGUUGUGUGACCGUCAAGUGUCGAACAGUGAGAGAUUUCAUGUCAUAUUCAAUGACACCAUACAUGUAACUGAGGCUAUUUUUUGAGUUGAUAUAUACCCAUCAGCUGCGGUUAGUGUUGGUGUGCCGUUGGCGGUGGUGCUACUGCUGUUGGUGCCGUUGGCGGCGUUGGCGGUGUGGCUCUGUCGACGAAAAAAGAAACCGACGGUCAGGACUGAAGACGGGGCUCUCCCUGAGCAGACUGCGGCACAACCUGAAGCACAAUCACUGCUAAGUGGAACCAGUAGAUUUCGUCCGGGGGCUUUUUCUGCGGACUACAGCGCUGCUACAGAUGAUGUGACCGUGACCAUGCCAGAUGCCUUUGGAGGGAAAACACGUUUGAAUGGAGAUUGUAGAGAUUGAGGGCGAAAAUUGUAUUGAAGUAUUGGCUUUGGCCCCGUCCACACAGUCUUGUACGUUUGGUCCGACCGUCCAGACAAACCCGGAAUUUUGGAUACCUGCAAACACAUUUUUUUAAACCAGGGACCUCUACGAAUUCUCUUUUUUGCAUAGGAAAUUCCCUUCCUAUGGAGAUGACCCCGGAAGUGCUUGGAGGAAAGGUGGUUCGAAUUCUAAAAAUGCUCAAAUUCUAAAAGGAGCCUUGAUGCUUCUUUUAACCCUCCUUUAUACUCCUGAGAUUCCUUUGCGAAAGGAAAGGAGAUAGUGGUAUCCCAUAUUCCUUUACGGCGGCAAUAUUUAAAGCAACAUGCCAUCAACGAAGUUAACCGACUCUACGCAAAGACGCAUGAGAGAUGGGGGAAAGCAGAAGAAUAGAAGAGAAGAAAAUACAAUUGAUGAUACCUGAUACCAAUUCCAGAAACAUAAUUAUUUGAAUACAAAUGAAUUCAUUUAUUGCUGGUUAAUAAGCACAUAAAAUGCACCAUAAGAAAAGAAAAUGCCAACUACACACCAACCCUACCAGCUGGGCAUAGUUCGAUUUCCGUCAAAUUUGUUUGAUUUGAUUUGUAUUAUUUUUGUAGUUUUAAAUACAGCCCCUUGGUAAAUUAAUUAUUAACUGUACAUUAAAAAGUAUAUUUUUAACGUUGUGUGUGUGUGUGUGUGUGUGUGUGUGUGUGUGUGUGUGUGUGUGUGUGUGUGAAAUGGGGUG